rnacentral:rRNA from 1 species
GUGAGGAAUAUUGCGCAAUGGAGGCAACUCUGACGCAGCCAUGCCGCGUGCAGGAAGAAGGCGCUACGCGUUGUAAACUGCUUUUAACCGGGAAGAAACCCCAGGACGUGUCCUGGGUUGACGGUACCGGGGGAAUAAGCACCGGCUAACUUCGUGCCAGCAGCCGCGGUAAUACGAAGGGUGCAAGCGUUAUCCGGAUUCAUUGGGUUUAAAGGGUGCGUAGGCGGAGCGUUAAGUCAGUGGUGAAAUCCUGCAGCUUAACUGUAGACUUGCCAUUGAUACUGGCGCUCUUGAGUGCGCUUGAAGUGGGCGGAAUGUGCCGUGUAGCGGUGAAAUGCUUAGAUAUGGCACAGAACACCAAUUGCGAAGGCAGCUCACUAAGGCGAUACUGACGCUGAGGCACGAAAGCGUGGGGAUCGAACAGGAUUAGAUACCCUAGUAGUCC